UUGAGGCUGCAGAGAGAACCCCAGCUCUGGAGAAUGACCUGCCAAUCCCUAGGCCAACAGGCAGAUGGUAUGAUGGUUUGCUACCAGAUGCCAUUCCCCUGCUAAACCCUGGGACUGUAUUAAGGAAGACAGUGGGAUCAGCUGGGGCACCUGGACAGAUCGGGCCUCCAGGUCCAGUUGGACCAGCUGGACUUCCAGGACCACCAGGACCAAAGGGAGAAAGGGGACUGCCUGGUGAGAAGGGGCCCACAGGACCACCAGGGCUCCUGGGGCCUCAAGGGCCUAGAGGACUUCCAGGAGAAAUAGGGAUUCCAGGGCCACCAGGACCACCAGGGCCACCUGCCACCCCAGGCCUUCCCCUCACCUUCCAGCAAGGGGUUCUCUACUCACUGCAGCCCACAGCUGAAAAAGAAAAUGGAGAACCCCAGCUGGCUU
rnacentral:lncRNA from 1 species